rnacentral:piRNA from 1 species
UCUUCUCUCAUUAAACCUUUCCACAAGGAGC